rnacentral:rRNA from 1 species
GACAGAGGGUGCGAGCGUUGUUCGGAAUUACUGGGCGUAAAGGGCGUGUAGGCGGUGGGGUGUGUCCGAUGUGAAAGCCCUCGGCUCAACCGAGGAAUGGCAUUGGAAACUACCUCGCUCGAGUGCGGGAGAGGAUGGCGGAAUUACCGGUGUAGAGGUGAAAUUCGUAGAUACCGGUAGGAACACCAGAGGCGAAGGCGGCCAUCUGGCCCGCAACUGACGCUGAGACGCGAAAGCGUGGGGAGCAAAC